rnacentral:rRNA from 1 species
UACGUAGGGUGCAAGCGUUGUCCGGAAUUAUUGGGCGUAAAGAGCUCGUAGGCGGUUUGUCGCGUCGAAUGUGAAAACCCGGGGCUCAACCCCGGGCCUGCAUUCGAUACGGGCAGACUAGAGUUCGGUAGGGGAGUCUGGAAUUCCUGGUGUAGCGGUGAAAUGCGCAGAUAUCAGGAGGAACACCGGUGGCGAAGGCGGGUCUCUGGGCCGAUACUGACGCUGAGGAGCGAAAGCAUGGGGAGCGAACAGG